UCCUGUCUUCGGGGGAUGGGAUAAUUUAUACCCUGCAAUCCCACAAUGCUUCACUUUAAUCUGGGUGAGUCACCGACAUCCUCAGCCACUAGAUGGAGGUCUUUCCUUUUUGGCUUGUGAUGGGCUAGCCUCAAACCCAGCAAUUCUAGAGAAGAAUAGUGAGUGUGAUGACUGGCAGCCAGCGAGUCAGCCUCUAGGACAGUAGCUUAGCUUUUAGCCUCUAGGAAAGUAGCUUAGCAUUUAGCCUCUAGGACAGUAGCUUAGUGUUCAGCCUCUAGGACAGUAGCUUAGCUUUUAGCCUCUAGGAAAGUAGCUUAGCAUUUAGCCUCUAGGACAGUAGCUUAGUGUUCAGCCUCUAGGACAGUAGCUUAGCAUUUAGCCUCUUGGACAGUAACUUAGCUUUCAUCUUCUAGGACAGUAGCUUAGCUUUCAUCUUCUAGGACAGUAGCUUAGCUUUCAUCUUCUAGGACAGUAGCUUAGCUUUCAUCUUCUAGGACAGUAACUUAGCUUUCAUCUUCUAGGACAGUAACUUAGCUUUCAUCUUCUAGGACAGUAACUUAGCUUUCAUCUUCUAGGACAGUAACUUAGCUUUCAGCCUCCUUACAUCCAGGGAGAUGUUUCAAUACUCUACAUUGGUUUACUUUCUUCAUUUCCUUUCUUUCACAAUCACUGAUUAAGGGACUGGAUAAGAUACAUCUUAUAUCAUGCAGGAUCAGUCAUCAUGGAGGAAAGGAAUCCAUCUCAACUGAGGUAGAACCAGAGUGUUUGGAUGACACAGUACAACCCAGUCGUCAGAUGUCAUACCUACAAAGCCAACGAAGCACAAACACAUCUCCAACCACCACCCGUCUACCCGACAGACAAAUAAGGCCUGUGGACAUGGAUAAGAUUGCAUGGUUGGUAUCAAGUCAUUCUGUUAUUCACCCUAGACUGCAUUGGGAAAGGUGUCAUUUGUGAGGACUCAGUUGCAACCUCAUUUCCAUUGAUGUAAUCUAUAUACUUCUGGUCCUCUCUCUAACACAGCAACACACAUGCAGUAGUGAAGAUGUUACAACCGGAAAAUGACUAUGUCAUUUUAGACCAAGUGUGGUAUUUGAAAUGAAAGCUUUGACAUACUGUAUACCUAGAUUUCUACUUCUUUACCACUGACCACUGACCAAAGUACAGACCUAUUUACAAAAACCAAGUCCAUAAAAAAACUACAACACUUAAAUCACACCUGUCUGUGUCUAUAUGAUUAUUUAUUUACCUUUAUUUAACCAGGCAAGUCAGUUAAGAACAAAUUCUUAUUUUCAAUAACAUCCUAGGAACAGUGGGUUAACUGCCUGUUCAGAGGCAGAACGACAGAUUUGUACCUUGUCAGCACGGGGGCUUGAACUUGCAACCUUCCGGUUACUAGUCCAACACUCUAACCACUAGGCUACCCUGCUGCCCCGAUAUAUCCUCUGUGGUGCUCUGGUGGAUAAGGUUUAUACACAUUCUGUACGGACCAAAAUGUUUCAUUCAAAUCAUUCAAGGAAAAGAAGAGGAAGCAAGAGGAUGAAGAGGAAGAGGAAGAAAGCUGGCUGGCAUCAUGAGCCUUCAAUGUCAACUCCUGCAGACAACAAUGUCUCCUGGCCCCCUUCUUAACCACACAUUAGAGAAUUAGUUACAGGUAGGUGAGUAAUCUGAAGGGCUCUGCUGUGGUGGCCCUUAGUGACAGAUAGGUCAGUCAUCCGAAGUGCCAUGCGGGAGGGAGCGGGCAAUGUCCCAGAUGUCACCUUGUGUGGUGCCCUAUAUAGAGAAUCAGGAGUCAUUUUGGGACACAAUAUCAGUUCAAAUCUCCUCAGCACUUAGUCUAAGGCCUGGUACUAAAUCAUGUAAUUAAAAGCCC
ensembl:lncRNA